rnacentral:rRNA from 1 species
AGCAGCCGCGGUAAUUCCAGCUCCAAUAGCGUAUAUUAAAGUUGUUGCAGUUAAAAAGCUCGUAGUUGAAUUUCGGAAUCUGUCCGUUGGUCGGGCUUCACUGUCCGUACUGGUGUGAUGGGUUUCUACCUUCUGAAUAACCGGCAUGUCAUUAAUUUGGUGCGCCGGGGAAGCAGAACUAUUACCUUGAAAAAAUUAGAGUGCUUAAAGCAGGCUAUCGCCUGAAUAGAUUAGCAUGGAAUAAUAAAAUAGGACGGCAUGGUUCUAUUUUGUUGGUUUCUAGGAUCACCGUAAUGAUUAAUAGGGAUAGUUGGGGGCAUUAGUAUUCAAUUGUCAGAGGUGAAAUUCUUGGAUUUAUUGAAGACUAACUUCUGCGAAAGCAUUUGCCAAGGAUGUUUUCAUUAAUCAAGAACGAAAGUUAGGGGAUCGAAGACGAUCAGAUACCGUCGUAGUCUUAACCAUAAACUAUGCCGACUAGGGAUCGGACGAUGUUAAUUUUUUAAUGACUCG